rnacentral:rRNA from 1 species
AGUGAACGCUGGCGGUAGGCCUAACACAUGCAAGUCGAACGGCAGCACAGUAAGAGCUUGCUCUUACGGGUGGCGAGUGGCGGACGGGUGAGGAAUACAUCGGAAUCUACUUUUUCGGGGGGGAUAACGUAGGGAAACUUACGCUAAUACCGCAUACGACCUACGGGUGAAAGCAGGGGAACUUCGGACCUUGCGCGAUUGAAUGAGCCGAUGUCGGAUUAGCUAGUUGGCGGGGUAAAGGCCCACCAAGGCGACGAUCCGUAGCUGGUCUGAGAGGAUGAUCAGCCACACUGGAACUGAGACACGGUCCAGACUCCUACGGGAGGCAGCAGUGGGGAAUAUUGGACAAUGGGCGCAAGCCUGAUCCAGCCAUACCGCGUGGGUGAAGAAGGCCUUCAGGUUGUAAAGCCCUUUUGUUGGGAAAGAAAAGCAGCAGGUUAAUACCCCGCUGUUCUGACGGUACCCAAAGAAUAAGCACCGGCUAACUUCGUG